rnacentral:misc_RNA from 1 species
UUUGUUUUGGUUUCAGCUCUUUUCCUGGACCUGUUUGGGAGGCGGCCCCUCUUGUUGUUGGGCUCAACAGGGAUGGCUGUUUCAUUGGCUGCCCUGGGGAUGGGCUCAAAGUAUCUAGAGCAGUCAGAUAGCAAGCCUGUGUGGGCCAUUGCGUUGUGUAUAGUGGCCGUAUGCGCUGAUGUAUCCUUUUUUUCAAUUGGGCUUGGGCCAGUCACAUGGGUGUAUUCUUCAGAGAUAUUUCCAAUGAGGUUAAGGGCCCAAGGUUCAAGCUUG